rnacentral:rRNA from 1 species
AACGAACGCUGGCGGCAGGCUUAACACAUGCAAGUCGAGCGCCCCGCAAGGGGAGCGGCAGACGGGUGAGUAACGCGUGGGAAUCUACCCAUCACUACGGAACAACUCCGGGAAACUGGAGCUAAUACCGUAUACGUCCUUCGGGAGAAAGAUUUAUCGGUGAUGGAUGAGCCCGCGUUGGAUUAGCUAGUUGGUGGGGUAAUGGCCUACCAAGGCGACGAUCCAUAGCUGGUCUGAGAGGAUGAUCAGCCACACUGGGACUGAGACACGGCCCAGACUCCUACGGGAGGCAGCAGUGGGGAAUAUUGGACAAUGGGCGAAAGCCUGAUCCAGCCAUGCCGCGUGAGUGAUGAAGGCCCUAGGGUUGUAAAGCUCUUUCGCAGGUGAAGAUAAUGACGGUAACCUGAGAAGAAGCCCCGGCUAACUUCGUGCCAGCCGCCGCAGUAACAC